rnacentral:lncRNA from 1 species
GUGGCUCCCGAGGAGGAAAACAGUUCCGCGGGCCCGCUGUGGGAAUAGCCGUGAAUCCCUCAAUGGAAGGGGCCUCAGUGGUGCCAGGCAGCUGCUCCACAAGAGAAUUGGGCCAUUUUCUCCAGGGGGCCCAACUCUCUCUAGUGUUUUUGUCAUGACAGCCUAGGUGGUAGAAGCUGAGGCCAAGGCCGCCUCUAAGGAAUGCUGCCUCCUACAGGGGUCUGACUUCAGGCUUUCCUUGUAUUGAGGCGGGAGCCCUGGAGGGUGCUCAGAGGAUCUCCUCCUCCCUGCAGGGCCCUCUAACGAGGAGAAGAGAAUCAGGUGAGUCAAAAUGAAGCAAAGCCUUGUGCGGCGCUUGAAGCCCACAGCCCACCUGGGCCCUAAGCAAGUGCAGGUGACUCAGAUCUGGUUCCUCUUCUGGCCCUUGGAGCUCUUUGCUACCCUUGCACUCCUCUGCGUGCUCGACUGCCCAGGCCUGGCUGCCACUGCAAUGCCCGGCGCCCCAGACCUUGCCUGGCAAAUGUGCCGCUGCUGGAUACCAUUCCUAGUCUCAUUCCCAGGGAAUCCAGAGGCAAGUCUGGGCUGAUACGCCCUAUGAGAUACAAUGGGCAAGGUAGGUGUUUGCCUUUUGACUGAGACCAUCUAUAAACAAGGCUGGGAUCCCAGGUCUGGCUCUGGGGCAGGGGAGCUCCAGGCCCUCGCCCUGGCAGCACAGUGAGGGAGGGACUCGCGGCUUUCAGCACCUCUUAAAUCAUCCCAGAGGGAGAGCCACUUACUUCCGCACGCACAGGCUGCCGCCGGCUCUGUCACAAGAAGAUGAACUACAAGUAAUAAAAUCAAGAUGAAGUUCUAUGUAAAUCUUUCCAGCUCACAAAGAUUGUAGAAAGUUGGAGAUGAAAAGGAUAUUAAAGACCUUCUAGUUCUACCUCGUCAUUCUGCAGCUGUAAAAACUGAGGCCCAGGGAGGUGUAUGGACUAACCCAUCAUCACACAGCUGCUCUGCGGCAGGAGUUGCACCAGCUUUCCGUGGCAUCCUUGCCAGUCCACUAGUCUAUAGCAUCUUUUGACUUUUGAAAACAGUGGAAGAGAAAUCAGUCCUCCAGCAUCUUCACUUCCCUCUGUUUAUUAUUUCCAGCUGCUAAAAAUGGGCACUUUUAAAAGUCGGUCGCCCUGCCAGUCAUUGAGGGUCAGUGCUCUGAGGAAUGCUGGUUUGCAGGAGUGGUGAAUAGGCCAGUGAUGGGAAGCGUAAUUGCCAGCCUCCUCCCUGGCACCUGGGGAUUGCUGUCAUUCAAGUCCCUGGGCGUGUGCCCUCAGCAAAUACUAACCCACAGAGUCAAUUGCUAACUCCAGUCAUCUGUACAUUUGCCCUCCAGGGAUGGAAAGCAGGAGGAAACGCCAUUUCCUAAUCUAGUUGGCCUUGGAUGGAAACGUGUUUUGGCCGGAUGGAAGCCUUCAGUGAGUCGAUGAUGCGUAUUUAGGACCUACAAUCAAUCCUCUCCAGGAUCUUUUACAGGACCCGGCUGUAGCGAAAAACUCACCAAUGCUUCUGGCUUUGCCUUUGCUUUAGUUGAGAGCUUUUGGUUGCAAGGAAUCAACUUGAGCUGGCUUAAUUAUUAAGGGAAAUAUGUGGUGAGGCAGUAUCUCAUGAAGCCCAAGGACAGAUGGCUACGAGGAAGCCAGGAAGCAGGCCUUCUCCAGCCUUCGCCUCUGCUCCACGUCUCUCUGCAAUCAACUCUCCUUCCUUCUUCUCUCUGGGCAGCUGAGUGGAAGAGGAUCCCUCACAACUGCCGGGUUUACACCCUCCCUACUGAAGAGGUCGGUCCCGGGUAGCUGGCUGUGCUCAAUCCGAGGCCACAUUCCCACGAGAGAGAAUGCGGUUGGCUCAGCCUGGGUCAGGUGCACAACCUGAUCCGGUCAAGGGUGGCCCCAAACAGGGUGCCCUGAGACAGGCAAGGCGGGGCGCUCACCCGCCUGGAUGACUGAAGGGCAGUUCUCCCAGACAGAAAAAUGACAUGCAGUGGGCUGGCACUGAAAAAGUGCGACUCUCAUAGGCUUCAGUCAAAUUAGUUAUUGACAGAGAAAAAGUGGAUGGUCCGGGUGGGAGUUCUGAGGAACAGUUCAGACACUCUGAGACCUUGAUGAUUUGCCUCAUUUCUUGAGUGAUAAAUUGCCUGUCAUGGAGCUGUAGCUGUUUAGAGAGCAGGCCCUGCACUUGAACCCCAUUCUCUGGGCUCUGUGAAGAAGGCCCAUUCAGACAACCUGAGGAUUUUCUUAACCUUUCAAGUGACUAUAUUAUAUAUUUUCAUCCUGUUGAGGUGCGUUAGCUAGAUAGAUACUGAAAAUGAAAUGAAAGUGUACUUUCAAACUUGUAUGUGUUGCUUUUUAUGUGUGUGUAGAUAGAUAGAUAGAUGGAUAGACAGAUAUUCCUAUACUUUUAAACACUUAACCUCUUUCCAGAAAGGACUGGCAGCAUCUUCUAAUGAAAACGCAGAAGAAGUACGGCCAAAAACCAUUAACACUAAAAAGGAAGGAAAAGCCCAGUAGCAAUCAGGCAGCAGCUGAGCAGCGUGACAGGUGAUGGACAGGCUGUCAUUCCCCACCUGAGCUGAUGGAUGACCUUCGCCCUGAAGGUUCUGAUAUUCUAGGCAAAGAAGAAACUGUUAUGAAUUGAAUAGCUUUAUUAUUUUAAAAGUGUAAACAUUUAGAACAGAGGUUCUCAAAUUAUAGUCCAGGGACUCCUGGGGUUCUCCAAGCCCUUUCAGGGGGUCCACAGAUCACAACUAUUUUAAUGAAAAUCCCAUUCUCUUGAGUAUACUGUGGAGUUUUCUAGAGGCCACAUGACAGGUAAUAUUACCAUAGAUUGAAGGCAGAAGCAGAGACGAGAAUCCAGCUAUCUUCUACUAAGCCAGACAGUCAAGAGAUUUUCAAAUAUUUUAAAUAAUGUCACUCAUAAUUUAUUUUUAUUUUGGAAAAUACAUUUUCACAAAACAUUAUGUUGGUAUAUUAUGAGUAUUGCUAUUAUUUCAAAUUAACAUUUAAUUUUGGUUUUAAUUUCUAAUAUUGCAAGUAUCAAUGGAUAUGUCCUAUAUAAGCAAAAACUCUUUGGGGUUCUCAACAAUUUUUUAGAGUAUAAAGGAGUCCUGAGAACAAAACAUUUGAGAACUGUUGAUCAAAAAUAUUACUAUUAUUUGUGCAACUCAGAUGGUGAUUUUUGCCCCAAAGGUUUCUUUCUAGAAGGCAUUGGUCAUGUCUACAUUUGAUCCCAUGGCAAACUGAAAUCAUUUUAUGACUAGAUGAAGUAAGCUUUUUGUACACAUGUAUUCAUUUAUUCCUCAUUUAUCUGUUCAAGAAAUGUUCACUGAGCACGUGUUCUACAGAGUCCAGGUACCGUGCUGACUCUGAAGACAGCGACGGGCGAGACUAACUGGCUGCAUCCUCCUGGAGACUGUGAUUUCGUUUGCAAAGGAGGAACAAGGAUGACUUGAAAAUAAUCCCGGGUCAACGUCAAACCAGAUGGAAACUGCUUUUGUUUAUCCUCACAUAAACUACCAAUUUAAAGAAAAUACUACUUAUUUUCCUAAGUCUGAAGAGUUGAGGUUAAAGAAUUUCCCGGCAGGAGCACACCAUGUGCCAGGGAAAAGGCACAAAGUAUCAGUGUGGAGGGAGUCCAGGAGUCUUCGAGCUGAUACCGGCAGCGCUGACUUACUCCCACAGUCCUGCAGCAGGCUGCGAGCAGAGAUACGGCCUGGCAGUGUGUCAUGGG